UACGGAGGAUGCGAGCGUUAUCCGGAUUUAUUGGGUUUAAAGGGUGCGUAGGCGGACGCUUAAGUCAGCGGUAAAAUUGCGGGGCUCAACCUCGUCGAGCCGUUGAAACUGGGUGCCUUGAGUGGGCAAGAAGUACGCGGAAUGCGUGGUGUAGCGGUGAAAUGCAUAGAUAUCACGCAGAACUCCGAUUGCGAAGGCAGCGUACCGGCGCCCAACUGACGCUGAAGCACGAAGGCGUGGGUAUCGAACAGG
rnacentral:rRNA from 1 species